rnacentral:rRNA from 1 species
GACGAACGCUGGCGGCGUGCUUAACACAUGCACGUCGAACGGAAAGGCCCUGCUCUUGUUGGGUGCACGAGUGGCGAACGGGUGAGUAACACGUGAGUAACCUGCCCUUGACUCUGGGAUAACGUUAGGAAACUGGGGCUAAUACCGGAUAGGAGCUCUUGCUGGAUGGAGGGUGUUGGAAAGUUUCGGCGGUCGGAGCAGGACUCGCGGCCUAUAAGUUUGUUGAUGGGGUAUUGGACUACCAAGGCUGUGACGGGUAGCAGGCAUGAGAGGGUGACCAGCCAGUUUGAAGCAGGGAAACGGCCCAAACUCCUACAGGGGGACGCAGUGCGGAAUAUUGCACUAUGGUCGGAAGCCGAAUGAAGAAACCCCGCGUGCUGGAUCACGGCCUUUGCGUUGUAAACCGAGUUCGCCUAUGACGAAGCGUGAGUGACGGUAACGGGUAAAGAAGCACCGGCUUACUACGUG